UACGUAGGUGGCAAGCGUUGUCCGGAAUUACUGGGCGUAAAGCGUGCGCAGGCGGUUUUGCAAGGCAGAUGUGAAAUCCCCGGGCUUAACCUGGGAACUGCAUUUGUGACUGCAAGGCUAGAGUGUGUCAGAGGGAGGUGGAAUUCCGCGUGUAGCAGUGAAAUGCGUAGAGAUGCGGAGGAACACCGAUGGCGAAGGCAGCCUCCUGGGAUAACACUGACGCUCAUGCACGAAAGCGUGGGGAGCAAACAGG
rnacentral:rRNA from 1 species